CCUACGGGAGGCUGCAGUGAGGGAUAUUGCACAAUGGGGGAAACCCUGAUGCAGCGACGCCGCGUGUGGGAAGACGGUCCUCUGGAUUGUAAACCACUGUCCCCAGGGACGAAGAUGCCGGUACCUGGGGAGGAAGCUCCGGCUAACUACGUGCCAGCAGCCGCGGUACUACGUAGGGAGCGAGCGUUGUCCGGAAUUACUGGGUGUAAAGGGAGCGUAGGCGGGGAUGCAAGUUGGGUGUCAAAACUACCGGCUCAACUGGUAGUCGCACUCAAAACUGCAGCUCUUGAGUGAAGUAGAGGAAGGAGGAAUUCCUAGUGUAGCGGUGAAAGGCGUAGAUAUGAGGAGGACCACCAGUGGCGAGGGCGGCCUGCGGGGCUUUUACUGACGCUGAGGCUCGAAAGUGUGGGGAGCAAACAGGAUUAGAUACCUGGUAGUC
rnacentral:rRNA from 1 species